rnacentral:rRNA from 1 species
CUUCAUGAAGCUGGAAUUGCUAGUAAUGGCAGGUCAGCAUACUGCCGUGAAUACGUUCCCGGGCCUUGUACACACCGCCCGUCACACCAUGGGAGUCGGGAAUGCCCGAAGUCAGUGACCCAACCUUUGGAGGGAGCUGCCGAAGGCAGGUCUGAUAACUGGGGUGAAGUCGUAACAAGGUACC